CUUGAAGCUGCUGUGGAGAAAAAAAAAAACAAACGUUACGCAUAUAAUGUGAUGUGUGUGUAUAUACAUGCAGGUGCCCUUAUGGCCAAAAAAAAUAUUUUUUUUUAGGGUUUUUUUGUUUGUUUGAAUGAAACUGCUCCUCGCAUUAACCACGGACAAUGUGAACCGAAAAAAUAUGUUCACACAUACAAAUAUUAAUAAAUCGGACUGGAGUUGCCGGAAAUUUGGUAAUGGACAAGUUGAGAUCCACCGAUGCUUGAUGGGGCGAACUGGAUAUGAUAGGUGUUGUAGAAUAAUCCGGCUCGAAGGACCAAAUGUUGUGGUAGGGCUUCCGCAGGGCUUCCAGGUUAUUUUUUCGUCUGGUCAUAUAUUUUCAGAAUAUAUGUUACAAUGUAUUAGUGUAAGUGUGAUGAAUGGAUUGCGACGGCCAAACCUUAUGUGAACAAAUGCUAACAAUUGAACCAGGCGUGUUGUUUCUUAAACCUACUUGGCUAGCGGAGCAAUGAUGGAAUCUUCAACAUAAUACAUGGUGACCGUGACCUUGCCAACCAAGAACCAGCGAAACCAACAUUAAAGGAAAAAAAUUACUAAAUAUCAACCAAGAAAAACCUAAACCAACACAAAAGAAAAAAACUACUGAAUGUCAACCAAGAACCACCCUAGUCAACAUUAAAUUAAAAUAAUUACUGAGUGAGUAGAGUGCGUGUGAUAUGAGAAAACGUGGAGGUGUUAAGUCAAAAGUAAAUAAGAGAAUAGCACACUUAAAGUGACUAUUAUUCUCUAGUACAGCGCCACCAGCGUGGUCAACGGCUCAAAAACUACAAGCCGAACUUGACUUUUUUAAAACACAAAUUAAAACCACAGUUCCCAACACUGCAUCUCACUCAACUCACAUUAAAAUCAUAAAAGAACAAAUAAAAAUCUUACUUCUGAAGAAAACAUGCACGAACGACUGCGAGGGACCAGAAUAUCCACCGUUUUUUGAAUAUACGUGCCGACAUUGCGCACCAUGGGAAAGCACCGGAAACUGAAAAAAAACAAGUGCGAGUGGCAUACCGCAGCUUGCGCCAACGAAGGAGCAUCAGCGUGCCACAUCCGGCGACGCCCAGCUGAUGCAUCAUUGAGGGUCAAUGAAGACA